rnacentral:rRNA from 1 species
GUCCACGCCGUAAACGAUGAAAACUAGCUGUUCGGUCGCGUUGUCGACUUAGUAGCGAAGCUAACGCGUUAAGUUUUCCGCCUGGGGAGUACGGCCGCAAGGCUAAAACUCAAAGGAAUUGACGGGGGCCCGCACAAGCGGUGGAGCAUGUGGUUUAAUUCGAUGCAACGCGAAGAACCUUACCUACCCUUGACAUCCUGCGAAGGCGCUAGAGAUAGCGCUGUGCCUUCGGGAAUGCAGUGACAGGUGCUGCAUGGCU